AAAGAGAUAUCCAUAAUGGAAGCCCCAGAUAACAUAUGUGAAGACCCAGAGUGCAUCAAACAAAGAAAGGAAUAGGCGAACUUGGUUUGCGGCUUGCUUGGCAAAAAUAUAUAUAGUAGAGGGGUGAAGGAGCUCGGCGGGAAUAAGCUUAGUGCCGGUAGUGCAAUACUACUUUCAAUUACAGAAUCUGAUGAUGAAGAAUAAAAGACUCUAAAAGAAACUGACUCAUAUAGAAUGCAUGUAAGCAAACUGCUUCCUAAAAGCGACUUACUUAUAUAGAAAUGAGGUAACCAAAGAGCUUAUUAAAAGCAAUGCUGUGUUGGCGCAAUAUUGCAUAUGUUAUUUAGAAAAGCAUAGAGAACUGUGAGUUACUGUAGUGAGGUUACAGUUACUAUUGCGCAAGUAUAGUGCUUUUGGUGCCUCGUGCCUCUGUCCUUAGAUUCUAUGGUGAGGGCAGCCUCAAUUCGUUCUUCUUGUUCUUUCGCUCUCUUAUGAAUUAUAUACUAGUGGUUCUUAAUACUCCUAUCAACAAGCAAGGUAAGCGCGUGAGCUUAUUGUUGUUUAGAGUUAGGUUUACUCAGUUCCAUAAGAAGUAGCACUCAAUUAGAUUCUUAUUCCAGUGUUGGGUUGGUGACUUCUUUCUAUACUGUGACAGUGCUAGCUAAAUUCAAAGCAAUGGAACAAGCAAACAAGCAUCGUUCCUAAGUGCUAACGCUUAUCUCUGGGGGUCGGGAUAGCUUCACACUGGCCCAACUGUCCCUAUAGCUAGGUUAAUGCUUGACUUUGUAGCCUGUUUUUCGACCCCUAGAAACCCCUAACGAUAGAAGACUGGAAUUCACAUUACUUGUUCAACCCACUAACGGCACUUUGGGCGAGAUCCACUAGACAAGACAGCGCUACCAACCCAACCUGACUUGAUACUUAAGCGAGCAGAGCUUCUGGAUACGAGAUUAUUACUACAGCAAACUUUCCACUCCACUACUUUGAGCUACACCCUCACAGAAUAAGUAAUAAGUGACACCUCAUAAGUAAUAAGUGCAAGAUUCCAUGAGUAUAUUGAAACUACUUCUCUUAUUUGACUUGAAUCACUCACUUUCCCCUCAUCUCCUUGCUUUCUCUCAAGAAUAGAAUCCGAACCCCCGAUUCGAUUGCUUGUUUGAGUUCUACCACAAUAGCUGCUUUCAAGGAAUGCAAUCCUUAGAUGGUAUGGCAUAGCGAAAAGUUUACACCUUCAUUAUUCUAGGUAAGAAAAUCCCCUUUAGCCUACUCUACUUUUACAUAGCAAACUAGUUGGUGUACUCCCCCUCGACGCGCUGACCCGAUGUAAGUCAAUCCUUUUGUCUCACAGAUCCAUCUUCUUUCUUUCUUAGAGCAUUAUUGAAACCAUUUGAACCUAGUCGCGUGGAAGGAGCCAGAUUACAGAUACUUUCUAUUCUCUCGACGUCUUGACCCAUACAUAGUCUGCUAAUCGAUCAACGUCUUUGAUCCUUACAAGCUUGGAUAGGACAAUAUCUCUCUGUUGUUUGUUACAUAACACUGAAUUUGUUCGUUCUUAUUACUAUGAUUCUUUCUAUUCUUAUUUCUUACUCAUUUUGCUUUAUUAUUUAUGCUGGUUUAACCUCUUCUUAUUAAUUUGUAUAUGAAUACUAGAUGAAUACUAGAUGAAUACACUGUGCCCCCGACUCUGAAAUAAGCCCUCGAGGCAAGGCGCAAAGGAAGAGAUGCUCUUCUUUGGUCUUGAACUAGCUCUCCCCGCUCGAGAGUUCAUGUUGGCGAUUCACUUAAUGAAUAGGUCCUUUGACGAUUCCCUAGCAGUGCCUGUUUGGUACCGAGCUCUUUUACGUCUUUAUUCCUUCACGCGCUAAAAUCCAAUGGGCACGAUCUGCUAAAAAGCCUUGUUUAGUUGGGUCUACAGUUUCAGUGGGUACUCACCUGCAACAUAAGUUGGGCAAAACA
rnacentral:lncRNA from 1 species